UAACGCUUUUUCCACCUAUUGUGUGCAAUCGAGCCCUAACCCGGAUUCUCAGAAUAUGGAACUCUCGGUCCAAACUCCUCCACACAUUCGAGAACGCGGAUUUGUUUCUGACCACCUUAUGGUUUGCUGCCCCAACUGUUAUCAUAAAUUUGACAGUUACCACAACGAAAUAAAGAACCACUUGGCUAGCCCAUCAACAACCCAAGCUUUUCAAUCCAACGUGACCUACAGUACAUAAAUUUUAACACCCUGAAAGGCUAACAAUGACACUCUGACGUCCCCACCAAGCACACCAAAACGACAAGUAAAACCAACGGUUGCCAGAGAAUUAUUUAGCUCCGCCGUCCCACGGCCAGCUAAGGUUUACUCGAACCCAGAGUCCCAAGAAACCCUUACUAUAAAGCUCGUGCAGUUUUUUAAGGAUCAGGGUUUACUUUUAUGGUAAACGAAAAUUGUAAAAUAAACCUCAAAUUCGCCAACGUUUAAGUAAACACAUUCUAUUUAAUGGGGACUGAUUGUUUUAGAUAUUCGUGAAUUGUAUUAACGUUUAUUGUUAAAAAUGAUAGUUCUGUCAAGUAUUGAAUUUAUGUGGCUUUAGGUUGUACAAAACUUGAACUUAACAAUACUUAUUUCCAACCCCGCAGCACCUUUGAAUAUUCCUAAAUUCUUUAUAAUAACUAAUUACUCGGAUAGAGGCACCAAAUUCUACAUAAAGCACUAAGUAAUCGGGCACAAGCACCAAAUCCUAUAGAAGCACUAUGUAUUCGUACACCAGACACCAAAUCGUGGCAUGAGGCAACAUCCCGCAUAAUCCCUCCCCAUUCUGUCUCGCUCUCCUACCCAUACAAUUCCAAUCCCUAUAGUAUUUACAUUCAUGUCUUCACCCCGUCUUAAAGCAUCGAAUCGUAAAUUUGGAAAGGAGAACCGCUGAAGUAUAUUGUAAACAUUGAUUUGAAAAUUGCGGUAAUGAGUGAAUUAAGUGAGGAAGAUGAGAAGGAAACUCAUUGAAUUUUGAAAAGCCAAUUGAACCAAGAAUGA